AUUGCCCCCAGAGGAAGUGGCGACUAACUCUGUGCCAGCAGUCGCGGUAAUACAGAGGCCACAAGCAUUAGUCGGAAUCACUGGGCUUAAAGGGUGCGUAGGUUGUCCAUCAAGUGCUUUGUGAAAUCCCACGGCUCAACCGUGGAACAGCAGGGCAUACUGAUGGACUUGAGGCAAGUAGGGGCUGACGGAACAGUAGGUGGAGCGGUGAAAUGCGUAGAUAUCUACUGGAACGCCGAUGGUGAAGACGGUCAGCUGGGCUUGUCCUGACACUGAGGCACGAAAGCGUGGGGAGCAAACAGGAUUAGAUACCCUGGUAGUCCACGCUGUAAACGAUGCGCACUGGACCGGUGCGGUUUUGACGCCGUAUCGGUCGUAGUAAAAACGAUAAGUGCGCCGCCUGGGGAGUACGGUCGCAAGAUUAAAACUCAAAGGAAUUGACGGGAGCUCACACAAGCGGUGGAGCAUGUUGCUUAAUUCGAGGCAACGCGAAGAACCUUACCUGGGUUUGACAUGCUUGGAUUAACCUCUUGAAAGAGAGGCCACGCCCUUUGG
rnacentral:rRNA from 1 species